GAUGAACGCUGGCGGCGUGCCUAAUACAUGCAAGUAGAACGCUGAAGGCGGAGCUUGCUCUUCUGGAUGAGUUGCGAACGGGUGAGUAACGCGUAGGUAACCUGCCUGGUAGCGGGGGAUAACUAUUGGAAACGAUAGCUAAUACCGCAUGACAGCAGUUAUUGCAUGGUGACUGUUGAAAAGGGGCAACUGCUGCGCUACCAGAUGGACCUGCGUUGUAUUAGCUAGUUGGUGAGGUAACUGCUCACCAAGGCGACGAUACAUAGCCGCCCGGAGAGGGUGAGUGGCCGCACUGAGAGGGUGACACGGCCCAGAGUCCUACGGGAGGCGGCAGGAGGGAAUCGGCAGGAAUGGGCGGAAAACUGACCGAGCAGCGCCGCGUGAGUGAGGAAGGUCGUCGGGUGGUAGAGCACUGUUGUCAGGGAGGAACCAGUUUGAGCGUGGAACGUUCAGUCUGUGACGGUAACUGACCAGAAAGCAACGGCUAACUACGUG
rnacentral:rRNA from 1 species